UACAGAGGGUGCGAGCGUUGUCCGGAAUCACUGGGCGUAAAGGGCGCGUAGGUGGCGCGACAAGUCGGUGGUGAAAGCUCGACGCUUAACGUCGAGUCGGCCACUGAUACUGUCGGGCUUGAGCACUGUAGAGGCAGGUGGAAUUCCGGGUGUAGCGGUGGAAUGCGUAGAGAUCCGGAAGAACACCGGUGGCGAAGGCGGCCUGCUGGGCAGUGCUGACACUGAGGCGCGACAGCGUGGGGAGCAAACAGG
rnacentral:rRNA from 1 species